GUGGGGAAUCUUGCGCAAUGGGCGAAAGCCUGACGCAGCCAUGCCGCGUGAAUGAUGAAGGUCUUAGGAUUGUAAAAUUCUUUCACCGGGGACGAUAAUGACGGUACCCGGAGAAGAAGCCCCGGCUAACUUCGUGCCAGCAGCCGCGGUAAUACGAAGGGGGCUAGCGUUGCUCGGAAUUACUGGGCGUAAAGGGCGCGUAGGCGGACAGUUUAGUCAGAGGUGAACGCCCAGGGCUCAACCUUGGAAUUGCCUUUGAUACUGGCUGUCUUGAGUACGGGAGAGGUGAGUGGAACUCCGAGUGUAGAGGUGAAAUUCGUAGAUAUUCGGAAGAACACCAGUGGCGAAGGCGACUCACUGGCCCGUUACUGACGCUGAGGCGCGAAAGCGUGGGGAGCAAACAGGAUUAGAUACCCCGGUAGUCC
rnacentral:rRNA from 1 species